rnacentral:rRNA from 1 species
UUACUUGAUUCUUCGGAUGAAGGUCUGGUGACUGAGUGGCGGACGGGUGAGUAACGCGUGGGUAACCUGCCUCAUACAGGGGGAUAACAGUUAGAAACGAUUGCUAAUACCGAAUAAAAUGUAAGAGUCAAUUUUACAUUGAAAGGAGCCUUUAAAGCUUUGCGAUUAGAUGGGCCUGCGGCGUAUUAACUAGUUGGUGAGGUAAUGGCUUACCAAGGUGACGAUGCGUAGCCGAACUGAGAGGUUGAUCGGCCACAUUGGGACUGAGACACGGCCCAAACUCC